rnacentral:rRNA from 1 species
CUCCUACGGGAGGCAGCAGUGAGGAAUAUUGCGCAAUGGGCGAAAGCCUGACGCAGCCACGCCGCGUGAAGGAUGACACCCCUCUGGGGCGUAAACUUCUUUUGUGUGAGAAGAAGACGUUGGUCGCCAACGUUUGACGGUAUCGCACGAAUAAGCACCGGCUAACUCCGUGCCAGCAGCCGCGGUAAUACGGAGGGUGCAAGCGUUGUCCGGAAUCACUGGGUGUAAAGGGUGUGUAGGCGGGCCUGUAAGUCAGAGGUGAAAUCCCACGGCUCAACCGUGGAACUGCCUUUGAUACUGCAGACCUUGAGUCUCGGAGAGGUAGCUGGAAUUCGUGGUGUAGCGGUGAAAUGCGUAGAUAUCACGAGGAACACCAGAGGCGUAGGCGGGCUACUGGACGAGUACUGACGCUGAGGCACGAAAGCGUGGGGAGCAAACAGGAUUAGAUACCCUGGUAGUCCACGCCGUAAACGAUGGAUGCUCGAUGUUGCCCCGAUUAAGGGGCAGUGUCUAAGCUAACGCGUUAAGCAUCCCACCUGGGGAGUACGCUCGCAAGAGUGAAACUCAAAGGAAUUGACGG